AAGUCGUAACAAGGUUUCCGUAGGUGAACCUGCGGAAGGAUCAUUAACACGUAUCCACGUAUCAAGCAACCGAGAAUAGUUUUCAACUCUCCCUCCUAAGGAUCAUGAGUGGGCCAGCCACAUCGACGCGAAUGGGCUCUUUAAUUUAGAGCGCGAUGGGUACGCUUAAAGCUGAGCUUAAACAACAAGCCAGACCACUGUAUUUCACAAGAGGCAACCUUCUUUACUACCGGUGAUCCUACUCCCUGCCGUACGUAGUGAAGAUUUUACAACACGAUAAACACCACUUUUUUGCUAGUUGACUUUUAUCUGUCGGUCAGUGCGCAAGCAAUGGCUCACACGUUUGAUUAUUUGAACGUUAAAAAUACAACUCUUAGCAAUGGAUAUCUUGGUUCUC
rnacentral:misc_RNA from 1 species